UACGUAGGGUGCGAGCGUUGUCCGGAAUUAUUGGGCGUAAAGAGCUCGUAGGCGGUUCAGUAAGUCAGGUGUGAAACCUCCAGGCUCAACCUGGAGACGCCACCUGAUACUGCUGUGACUUGGAGUCCGGUAGGGGAGCGUGGAAUUCCUGGUGUAGCGGUGAAAUGCGCAGAUAUCAAGGAGGAACACCGGUGGGCGAAGGCGGUUCUCUGG
rnacentral:rRNA from 1 species